UGGGGGAUAUUGCACAAUGGGCGAAAGCCUGAUGCAGCGACGCCGCGUGGGGGAUGAAGGCCUUCGGGUUGUAAACUUCUUUUGCUCUGAACAAGGCGCACCAUGGGGUGUGUUGAGUGUAGGGGUUGAUUAGCGCCGGCUAACUACGUGCCAGCAGCCGCGGUAAUACGUAGGGCGCGAGCGUUGUCCGGCAUUAUUGGGCGUAAAGGGCUUGUAGGUGGCUGGUUGCGUCUGUCGUGAAAGCUCAUGGCUUAACUGUGGGUUUGCGGUGGGUACGGGCUGGCUUGAGUGCAGUAGGGGAGGCUGGAAUUCCUGGUGUAGCGGUGGAAUGCGCAGAUAUCAGGAGGAAUACCGGUGGCGAAGGCGGGUCUCUGGGCUGUUACUGACACUGAGGAGCGAAAGCAUGGGGAGCGAACAGG
rnacentral:rRNA from 1 species